CCGCUUGCUAGGAGGGCCUCAACACCCUCACUCAGGACACUUGGACCAAGAGCAGGAAUGCUUAUGAUCGCACAAUGACCUGUCGAGUGGAAAAAGAAAGGAAGAGAAUGCGGGGGCUAGCCAUGGAGAGAUGACUUCAGCUUGGAGAAUCCACAGUAGCAGGAGAGUUUGUUCAACCUGCCUAGAAACGAAGGCAUGUCACUGCAGUUAAAUGGAAUUCACCUAUGAAUGACCAGCAACAUCAGUGCACCAAGAAUCAUCACAUAAAAAUGACUUCUCAAAAUGUUUUUUGAAAAGGGGUUAAAAAAGGUUCACACUAUGUUUUCUCAAAAAUGCAUAGAUUCCACUUAGGUGACAUUCUGGAAAAGGCAACACUGUAGGGACAGAAAUCAGAUCAGUGGUUGCCAGAUCCUGGGGUGAGAGGAAAGGAUUGCCUACAAAGGACAUGGGGGAACUUUUGGGGGGUGAUGAAAACAUGCUAUAUCUUGAUUGCAGCAGUGGAUACAUGGUUGUACAUAUUUGUCAAAACUCAAAACUGCACACCUAAGAAGGGUGAAUGUUACUGUAUUUAAAUUAUACCUCAAUAAGUUUGACUUUAAAAAUGUACAGUUUCCAACUUCUAGAUCAACCUGAAUUUCCCUCUGUAACCUUGACCUUUUUAUUACAUACCUUCUUUCAUUGACAAGUUUAUCUAGUUUUAAUUUUCAAAAUGAUUUCCAGCAGAUUUUACCUAAGUUAUAGAAAGUUAAUGUUUUCAUAUAUAUUGCUUCUUUUGCCCAACCGUCCCAUUUUAGGGAGCCAACAUUUAUUGAGCCCUGUGCCUGAAAAAAGUCUUAUCUCAAUAUCCCUAUGAAGUAUAUCCUAUUAUUACUCCCAUUGUAAGGAUAAGGAAAUUGAGGUCAGGGCGAUUAAUGAAAAUCUUCAAUAAGAAUGGAUCUGAACUCAGGGGUACCCUAUUCCAUAGUCAGUGCUCCUAACCUCGAUGCUAUUCUGUCCUGAUGCUGCAUUUCAAAACGUGCUUCUGAUUCCCUGCAGAUCUUCUCUAUGUGCCUAACACAUACCUACAGACAACGGACAUUCAAAUUUGCUUUCUGACAACAGCAUGUUAGAAGGACUCUUGAAAAUCAUUCUGCCAACAGGAGAUCUCAUUUGACUUAUUUACGUUUGUCAUAUAAGCCUUAAGGUUAUAACAUUCUAAACUGAAACACCAAAGAAGCAGGAUGCCCAAGAUCUCACGGUACUGCAAUGAAAACACCCACAAUCCUCUGUGUAAUGAGAUGAAAAUAAGUAAAUGAAAGAGAGGAAUGCUUUUCCAGAAAUCGAUCUUGUGCUCAUGGACAGAGGGCUGCAGCAUGUGGUCAGUUCCUGCACCUUUGGUCAGUUCCUAAGAGCCAAAGAAACAGUAUUUGAACAUGACUUUGAUCUACGUUGACCACAGCCAAAGAUCGAUUAUGUGGAGACCUACUAUUCUUCCUGGAUUCCAUCCUGCAUUAAAAGAUGAGUAUAAUUGUAUUGUAGAAAAGCACCUGGAGAUUUAUAAUCCUGAGUCUUUCUGAACAUCUCUUUAUGCAGUGAAAUCUGUGAAGGGGAAAUAUGUUGAUCAGGAUAUUCACUUCAAUUUAAAUGUGCAUGAAGAAGAUUAAGAAUAUCUUAAAAAAUCAUAAGAGUUGAUAGCGGAAUCAUUUGAGGGUGCCUUUUUUCAACUAAGUUUUAAAUGCUGCACGUUAUCUUUAAUUUUUAAUUAUUAAUAGCCAUUUAGUUAGACGUGUCAUUCAAACAGUAGACACGGAGCAUUUAAUUCCAACUAGGAUCUGUUGCCACAUACAAAACAGCCCAGGCUGUGCUAGUUUCCAACAUCAGGCAGCCAAUGCAAUUAUACUUCUGAGGGCACCAGGUCGGUUACAGAAUAGGAUUCUCUUAGACUCCAUGACAAAUGAUGGGAUUUCACAUCUGUAAUUUACCAGAAUCAGUUUAGAUUGCUGGGUAAAACAAACUGUUUAAUAAACACUAGGCUUUCUUGGACUCAGAGUCUGAAUUUAAAUUCCUGAUCUAAUUUAAACACUAUAAAUAAGUAGCAUUUAUACAAAUUUGCUUUUAAGUCCAGACACUAAUUCUGAUGUGGACUAAAAUCACAGUAAGCUUAGUUCAUUCUGAUUUUUUAAAUUCAUAUGGAAUUUUACCAACAGACUAAUUUUAGACAAACUAAGACUCCGUUUCCAUACACACCAAAACCAACAAUGACAACACCCUCCCCACCAAACCCCAAACAAAACAACCCUUUUUUGUUUAACUGCAUUCUGUUAAAUGUUUUAAGCCCUGGAAGGGAACUUUGAGUUAAUCAGUUGGGCCCCGCCCCCAUUUCACAGAUGAGGGAAGUGAGGCACAGGGAGGUCAGUGACUUGUCUGAGGUGCUCAGAGAGAAAGGCAGAGCCCUGCCCAUCACAGUUGGUCUCACGUUGCAGGAGGAGGCAUUCCCCAAAGGAAGGCAGAGGCCAGUCCUACAGCACUUUUCUUUCUUAGCCUGCCUUACAGGAUCACACUUUGGGGCUUGUACCUUUCACAAACAUUCAUUACAGAACAGAGAACUGCAUUCUGAGAAGUAACUGUGUAGCUAAAAAUUAUCAGUGUGCACAUUGAAAACGAAAAUGCAGCGUGAUCAGGGUCCUCAUGCAAACUAGAACUCUCUUCAACCCAAACUGCUUUUUAGUCAUUGGACAGCACACAUCUCUUAUGUAGCUUACUGUAAACCUUAGGUAAAUCGUGAAGUUUAUGCUCUAAUUUGACUUACCAAAAAUAUUUUCCCUUGUGGCAUUUAAAAGCAUACAUUCUUAGAGAACAGAAAAAAGAAUUUGCCAGGCAUAUUUUUCUUCUACAAACAUCGUGUUUUCUGUUUUUUUCUAAUAGGAAUAGUUGAAAGUUCCCGUGAUAAGUGCCUUGGCACUCCAAGUUCUUGUCUUCUCAGUAUCAGAUAAAGCUGUGCUACUUUCCUAAAAGAGAAGCCAGGCAUGUUCUCUCUUACAGGUAUUAAUUUUACAAGAGAUUUAUAAUAGCACUUAACUUUUGAGGUAAAGAUCUAUCCUUUAACUUGUACCUUUAAUUUAGGAAAGUAGACUCUAACACUGACCAUUAUCAUAUAUACCCUAUAUUAAAUAUUUGUAAUUUUUUUAAUCACUUGUAUCAUGGUAUAAGAUCAUAACAAAUAUUUUUAGAAAAUUAAUGACUUUGAUAUCCAACAUCUAAAUUGAAUCAGGCUUCUACCAGAAAGCAACCUCUUGAAUUAUACAUAGAAAUGAGAGCAGGGAGAUAUUGCUGCUAUUGAGCAGCCUAUUGCUCAAGCAGAAAGUGAUUUUGCUUACACGAUAUAGCAAAAGUCCUGUUAGGCAAUGUUAUAACUCCAAAUAAUGCCAAAUAUUACAAAUGCUUAACAUUUUCAAAGAGUUGUUUAGGUUAACA